ACGGAGGAUGCGAGCGUUAUCCGGAUUUAUUGGGUUUAAAGGGUGCGUAGGCGGCCUGCCAAGUCAGCGGUAAAAUUGCGGGGCUCAACCCCGUACAGCCGUUGAAACUGCCGGGCUCGAGUGGGCGAGAAGUAUGCGGAAUGCGUGGUGUAGCGGUGAAAUGCAUAGAUAUCACGCAGAACCCCGAUUGCGAAGGCAGCAUACCGGCGCCCUACUGACGCUGAGGCACGAAAGUGCGGGGAUCAA
rnacentral:rRNA from 1 species